rnacentral:rRNA from 1 species
CGUGUCGCGCAUAUCUGCAUAUCAAUAAGCGGAGGAAAAGAAACUAACAAGGAUUCCCUUAGUAACGGCGAGUGAAGCGGGAAGAGCACAAAUUUGAAAUCUUCAAGGUUCUACCUUGACGAAUUGUAGUUUAAAGAAGUGUUUUCUGUUAGAUGAGUAGCAAAAGUUCCUUGGAAUGGGACAUCAUAGAGGGUGAGAAUCCCGUAUUUGGUUAUUCAUUCUAGCUUUGUGAUACACUUUCAAAGAGUCGGAUUGUUUGGGAAUGCAGUCCAAAAUGGGUGGUAAAUUUCAUCUAAAGCUAAAUAUUGGCGAGAGACCGAUAGCGAACAAGUACCGUGAGGGAAAGAUGAAAAGAACUUUGAAAAGAGAGUUAAACAGUACGUGAAAUUGUCAAAAGGGAGGCGUUUGACACCAGUGUUGUUUUUCCGAAAAUCAAUUACGAAUGGCUUGAUUUUGUGUUGUAUUGACCUUAUCAGCUUUCUUCACUUUUUUCGAGUCUUUCUUAAUGCACUUUUCGGUUAACAAGUCAACAUCAAUUUCUUUUGUUGUAAAAGAGUAUUCGGAAGGUGACUUUCUUUUCGGAGAAAGUGUUUAUAGCCCUAUACUUCUACAAUCGGAGAGAUUGAGGUCUGCAGCGUAGAUCCUUCGGGGUUAGAUACACUUGUGCUAAGUUGUAGCUUUUCAUAGACAACUUGUUGACUAUGUUUAGUCAUGCGGCUUACUCGCUUGUGCUAUUUUACCUACGCUUAGGAUGUUGACGCGCGUGUGCGCAUAUCUGCAUAUCAAUAAGCGGAGGAAAAGGCGGAAUGAACGCUACUACGCUUAGGAUGUUGAAGAUAUGCGCGACACG